rnacentral:rRNA from 1 species
UGGAGAGUUUGAUCCUGGCUCAGGACGAACGCUGGCGGCGUGCUUAACACAUGCAAGUCGAACGAUGAAGGAAGAGCUUGCUUUUCUGGAUUAGUGGCGAACGGGUGAGUAACACGUGAGUAACCUGCCCUCUUCUUUGGGAUAACGGUCGGAAACGGCUGCUAAUACUGGAUAUUCACUCAUUGGCGCAUGUUGGUGGGUGGAAAGGUUUUUUCUGGUGGGGGAUGGGCUCGCGGCCUAUCAGCUUGUUGGUGGGGUGAUGGCCUACCAAGGCUUUGACGGGUAACCGGCCUGAGAGGGUGACCGGUCACAUUGGGACUGAGAUACGGCCCAGACUCCUACGGGAGGCAGCAGUGGGGAAUUUUGCACAAUGGGCGCAAGCCUGAUGCAGCGACGCCGCGUGAGGGAUGAAGGCCUUCGGGUUGUAAACCUUUUUCGCUCAUGGUCAAGCCAUACUGUUGGGUGUGGUGAGGGUAGUGGGUAAAGAAGCGCCGGCUAACUACGUGCCACAGCCGCGGUAA